rnacentral:rRNA from 1 species
GCUCGUAGUUGGAUUUCUGUUUGUAGCGUUGGGCCCGCCCGGGUUACCGGUGUGAGUGCCUGUACGCUCCUUACAUCCUUCUAGAGAACGGUUCUCUCCUUCAUUGGCUGUGGGAUCGCAAUCUAGAUCUUUUACUUUGAAAAAAUUAGAGUGUUUAAAGCAGGCUUGUGCUAUGAAUACAUUAGCAUGGAAUAAUAAUUUAGGACUUUAGUUCUAUUUUGUUGGUUUCCAGAACUGAAGUAAUGAUUGAUAGGGAUAGUUGGGGGUGCUAGUAUUCAGCGGCCAGAGGUGAAAUUCUUGGAUUCGCUGAAGACUAACUUAUGCGAAAGCAUUCACCAAAGGAUGUCUUCUUUAAUCAAAGAACGAAAGUUGGGGGGAUCGAAAGACGAUCAGAUACCGUCGUAGUCUCAAACCAUAAAACUAUGCCGACUAAGGGAUGAGUGAACGGUUGCAUUUUUCGACUUUCAUUUCGCACUUUUAAUGAAGAAAAUCAAAAGGUUUUUGGGGUUCCGGGGGGGAGUAAUGGUCGCAGGCUUGAAAACUUUAAAGGAAUUGACGGAAGGGCCACCACCCAGGGAGGUGGAGCCCUG